GCCACUUAAACUUUUUAACACCAAUUUAAUCAACUCAGCAACAGCAUUCGACACUAGUUGCCCCCUGACCUUUUUAUAUCCCGGAUAAAGGGAAAUGGCAAAUGGCCCAAUGGGACCCAAAAACUGGUAGCGAAAACCAAUGAACUGGAUGACUGGGGAUGCGAAAAGAAGGCCGAUUGAGCCGUCAAUGAUCUGUGAGAAAUGACGAGUGUUUUCGGCGAGACAUGAGGAAUUGUCAGUCAAUUAUGGAACUAUAUUUCUCAGGGGACGUGCGAAUAAAACCGGCAAAAACAGCUCAAUUUGCGCCAUUUAAAUGCCUCGCAAUGGACCACAUCUUAAUGAUUUAACUGCCCGGCGAAGGAAGUGCAUAAAAUCCCCGCACUUCCUGUUUAAUUUCCUCGGCGUGACUUUGGCCAGGCAGUAUAAAUGGAGCUGGCACUGUGCGAAAGAAAGCCAAAUGGCAAAGAAACGGAUCCCGACUUUUCACUCAAGCGAGCCAGAAGGCAAAGGUGCACUCACAGCUUUUAUGGUCACUUCUUGUUGAACUUGCGCAUAGUUUUUGCGCUUCUUUGCCAACAAUGUUGCAUGUUGCCAUCGCAGCGCCGAAAAACAAAACAAGUCAACACUAGUGACUGCAAAAAUGAAGAAUAAAAGAAGGAUACACCCCGAGUAUCAGCUUUAUGGCAGUUGCACAAAAAGCGCGCCACUCUUACAAAUUAACCUGCGACGAAGAUGGCUAAUUGGGAAGGAGCCCUUUGUUUUUCCCGCUUUCCCAUUUUCCAUUUGCACAUUCCCGCCCAAAGAAACUGCGAGUAUGUAAAGCGGCAGUUGCCUCUUGGACGUCAUGUCACCACCAUAUGGCUGAUAUGGGGCUGCCGAGCUACUUAGAUAACGCUUAAAAGCCAACGACAGCAACUUAAGUCAUAACACUUUAAAUAACUGCCACGCCCUGCCAGCAGCAAUGCACUUGAACCGAAACUUUUUCCCCAGAUAUUCUUAAGGAUACAAAAUUGAAUAAUUUUAAAAACCGAGACGAUGAGGUGCAAUCCCUAUGAUCUUCCAUGUUAUGUUGCAGUGCAUCGCCAUGAAGGGCAUCGCUGCUGGAAACCCCGAGUCCCGAGUCCCGAAUCCCGAGUCCUGAAUCUCGGAUCCCCAGUACCGAAUCAGUUGAGAGUGAAGUACUGACUGCGGACCACCGAGCAGUGCCCAAAAAGGCAACAAAAACGGCAACGACAACGUUGACGACGCUUCAUUGCAGCAAUUUGCAUUUUAAGUUGCUAAUGACAAAAGUUAUAAUUGCAUAACGCUCAGCUUCGAGGACUCAAGUGUGCCUCGUUGUGUGUGUGUGUGUGUGUGUGUGUGACAACGACACAUGUGCAUUGUGAAUGUGUAUGGGUGCGGAGGUGUUGUUGCAACUUGCAAGGCAGCCGGAAAUGAAAAGUAAAUCAAAUGAGUUGCCGUUGUCGAGUUGCUGCAAGUGCGUACUUCAUCAACGCGAGACCACCCAUGUAGUUUACACCCACCCACUUCUGUUCCUCCUCCUCUGCCCCACCCCACCCCCUCACCAUUCACAUGCAUCACCUGUCGCCGUUUUCACGUAUCUGUAUCUGUAGCUGUACCUGUAUCUGUUGCCAUGCAACAACGUCACCUGCAAUUGGCGACAUUUCCAUUUGUGAUUGCUCGAUUUCGCUGAGGCCCCCAAAGCUGCCUUGGUUAUCCCCCAGUAGCGGGAUGGUACAGUUUCGGCCAUAACUUUAAACGCUUUUCAACGAUUUCAAGUUUGGAGUUCCUUAGACAUUUUCAAGUUGCUUGCGAAGCUUAUUAGCUAUUGCAUUUACUAAAAGUUUCCCAAUUACUUAGUCAUUUUGAAACAGGAAAAGCUACU